UCCAACGAUAUCGGAUUCUUAAAGCGGGCAGGAAACAACUUUAAAAAUUUGCGUUGAGACGUUCACAAGAUAUUCUGAUUUACUUUCAGGUAAACCACAGAUUUCAAUAUUGGUUUCUCGGUUGUGUUGUUCUAUUGAAGCGAUACGAGUGGAAAGAUGCGUCCAGUAGGAGCAGAGCACCUAACAAUCGCCCACCGCUGAGCGCGCAGUCUCGAGAACGCGGCGCUUCCGCCGCCGCUAUGUUCCGUGUUCCUUUGCAACACAUUAAGUGAUAUUAUAUUAUUAUUGCAAUAUUAAACAUUGGGGAGCUGAAUCAGUUUCGGGCAAGUGUUCAUGACAAUUGCGAUUUGAGUUUCAUUUGUGACAUGUACCGGUUUUAUAUUAAUCUAAUCAAAUAUACAAAUUAUAUUAAGUAGUUGAUGCGUGCGAGUAUUACGGAAACGGUAACGCACAAGCUUAUUCAGGGCUCCAAUAAAAGACGAUUAUAAAGCCGAGGAGUUAAAGGCUCAUUUCUUAGAUAUUUAAAAACAGCAAUAGUAAAUCUAAGAUCAAACCGUGUUAUAUCUCACUAGCGUCGCAUUCGAUAGGAACAAUCAUGCUUUAUAGAUCCACUGACUUCUACUAUAUACCACUGGUCUGGCGGCUGUCAAACUUGUGCCUAUUUGAUAUUCGCCAUUUUGGCGCUGUUGGCCAUAUAGCGAGAGUCUGCGGUACUAAAACUAGUGAUGGCAACUAUUUAUAAAAAAAAUGUGUACUUUAUUACGUUGAUUCUUGAAGUAUAAAUAAUACGAAAAACGAACUAAAUUAAUUCAUAAUGCAAAACUACUUCAGAGUAUUGUACGUUCCUUCGCAGCCAUUUGUAUUAUGCGUCAAAAUUAGUUCUCUGGACGCUCGCGAGUGGCGCCGUGGAAUAGGCCCAAAAAAUAUGCUGUCAAACAUAUGGAACAGUCUGUCCAGUGGUAUUUAUACAAGUCAGUGUAUAAAGCUACGAGUGUUAACGAGCUAACAUUAGCAGAACUAUUUGAAAUGCCUUUUAAAUUUUAUCAAUUGAUUGCGUCGUGCGUUACCGCUCCGUGUGAGCCAACAUAAGCCGGUUGUAUGACAACGGCUUUUGUUUGUGUAUAGACUUGUAUAUAAUUAGGUUAAACAAAGGAGCGCAUCGCUUUAACAUUACUGCCAUUAAUCUACAGGUUGUUGAUUGUUGGUUUAAACGAGUUUCACUAUAUUUACUGAGAUAUGCAGGUGGAAUGGCCAAGCUGCGUGUAAUAGUUCUGUAUUACCUCGUAAAUAAUGGUCACCCUAAAUAGGCCAAUCGACGUAUUACUAUUAAGUGUAGAGUGUCCAUUUUUUUGUAAUAUUUGCUAAAACAUGUAUGGUGUAGUUUCGACGGCUCCGUCUAUUCCUCCUGCAUACUGAUACAUUAGCAUCUAGUGGUUAACAUAUACAAAUUUAUAAAUUAAAUACAGUUUCACAAAGUUAUAUUGAGAUUUUAAAUCCAUGUAUAAGGUCGUGUGAGGUCACUUAUUAAAUAUAUUUGUAUAAAUUAUAUAAUGUAUAUUGAAAGCCCGCUUGGCUUACAUAUGAGAUAGCUAUUGGUAUUAUCACAUCUAUAUUAUGGAAAUUUACAAAAGUAAUAAUAAAUACAGCCUCGAUAUGUAAAAAAUAAUAAUAAUAAUUUGAUUUAUUUAAUUCUAGAGUCAUUUUUUUAAUUCAUUCAAAUUUGGUGGAAAUACGGAUAUACAUACUGGUACAUACAACAUAUUUAUGAAAUAUUUGCAGUAAUCAAAUUAAAAUCAAAUAUUUAAAUGAGGGUAAAUAUAUUCAGUAUAGAAUAUAUUUUUAAUGUAACUGAUCGUAUUUCAACCUAACAGACAGCUGUUUAAGCCUGGUAAUAACUAGUAGACGUCCCUAGACUUGAUUGAAUUACUUGUUAUCUUGUUUGUCAGUACACACUACGUAAAAUUGAAUUUUAAAUAUCAGAAUCGAUCUAUGUUAUAUGUUAAUAUAUAUAUUUUAUAUCAAAAAUAUUUUCGUCAUGUUUAAUGUGUAAAAAUUAAUUAGCCAAUUAUGCGCUUCCAUUGUAUUAUAGUACCGUAUAAUAAAUUAUAUUAUUAAUUGUCACACGAUAUAUAGCCUUUAAGCGGAGCUUAGUUUUGAAAUAUUUUUGAUAUAAAAUUUUAAAAAGUUAAAAAUUAUCAUAGGCAAUAGUUUAAUUAUUAUGAAACGAAAUUGAUUAGAUUGGCACGACUAGGUAAAGGGUUGAUAUUUAGGAAAAUGAAAAUAUCUGUGUGUGAGAUAUUCUGCGAAUAAAAAAAAACAUAUUUUUCUGUUCCUUAAUAAUUAUUUUUUAUUGAUAUGCUUUUGUUGUGAAAAUUGUUAAUAAUUCUCUUCGAAAAAUAGGUAUGUGGGAUUAGUCUGCUGGUGGCUUUUUGUUAUAUUAUUUAUUUAUCUUUAUAUUUUGAAUGUCGCAUAUUAUGCGUGUGUAUAUUAGGCCAGGGGCAAUUUUUGUUGAAACCAUAAAAAAAUAAUAGCGGGAUGAAACCUAUUGGAAAACCUAAGAAAAAAUAAAUUAUGUGCGAUCUGCGGUCGGGAAGUGGAAAAGGGUAAACAGCGGUUUAUCUUGAUUUCCGGCAAAACUACAAGUCCUAAGCAAAAAGGUUGAAUAACAAAGUUGUAUACAACUUUUGUUGUCACACUUUUAUAUAACGCCAAAAUUUAUGUGAAAAAUUCUUAAAACCAAAUUUUGGUUUUUAUUUAAAAAAUAAAAAUAUUUUCACGAAAUUUGGUGAAAAGUUAUCUUUUUAUGUGCCAACCCUUAUUUUCAAUCGAAAAUUCACCCGUCAAAACAUUUCCAGUUCCGGACCACAGAUUGGCUGUGAUUUAUUUUUCCUUUUAUUUAAUUCUCUUCCUUUUCCAAUGGGCUUCAUCCUACUAAUUUUUUUUUUCACUCCUCAUUAUAGGCUUCAGCACUGGUGUAUGUUGUAAGAAUCAAUAUCUAACCAGCGUAUUGCAUAUUUCAGACGUCUAUAUAAUACAACCAAUUGCAAACCUUACUGGAGAUACUAUUAAUAUGUUUUAUCUGUAACUUUAGCACAAAAGAUUAUUAUUAAUUAAAAAUAACAGAAAAAUGUUAUAUUUUCAUCCGAUAGCGCGCCAUUUCCUAAGGAAGUUCAUUAGACGUAAAUAAAAUGUAACCAUAUGAAAAAAAUAUAUAUAACGAAUAUUUGCUCGUUAUUUUGUACAGUGCAGCGUCCAGAUAUUCGCAACAACCUUUUGAUCAUUGUAUUCAAGUGCAAUUCCGUGUUUCUUGAAAAUAUUCACAGAUAAUUUAUACGUCUAGAUAGAGUCCUGCUGUUGUAUAACAACAGAUAACAACAGGCCAGGAACAUUGGUUUAGUGUUUGUGACAAGCUACGUCUUUCAUUCACUAUUUGUAUGACACUUUCAGUUAAUGUGCGUGAAUUGCUUAAAAUAGAGGUUAGCUGUUACAACUUUUUUGACGUUUUCACAGCUGUCAUAGUCUAUGUAGACGUAUAAGUAAUCUAAGACAAUGUUUUAGUUUAUUUUAACAUUAAAUUUUGUUUGUAAUUUGUUGCCUUCCGACUUAUUUGCUGCAAAACCAUAUUGGUAAAGCUCUAAUGAACACGUCAAUCACUGUCAGAAUAUAAAGUUGGGUCAAAUGUUGCAAUAUAAAUCGAAUGACUUAUUCAUUUUAUGGUAAUUGGUGGGUUUUUGGAUUAUUUUGUUUAAUUAGUCUGCUGUUAGUGAACAGUGUGAUAUGCAACCAGUGAAGUAACGACGUUUCAUUAUUUAUUUCGAUUUUGUUGAAUUUACUGCACAGUUCUAAAUAAAACUGAAGAGUAAAUAUAAUAUUUCCGAAAUGCCCAAACAAGUUGUAUAUUAUUAAUUAUAUACGGUCAUUGUAAGAAGAAAGGAAGUAGGGAAUGGUUCAGGUUAUAUAUUAUAGGGUUGCCAUUAUAUUAAGAUCCCAAUACGGGAUGCACAACGUUUUCGAUGUCCAAAAAUAAUUAACAUAUUUUACACUGAAACGCAGCGUUUCAACUUUAUCAAAGCAUGCGUGUACAGUAAUUGCCCCUAUAACGUGGUAUCCUUUUAAGCAGCAGUUCAUGUUACGUGAUUUCAAUCUCCUUAUAACAGAGGCGACCCUCUGUAUAACGCAUGUAUUUCCCACAUAUAUAUUUCUAUACUGUGACAUUUAUAAUUAUUUGUACAGUUCAUAAUUAGCUUGGCGUACCUUUGAACGUGUGUCAGUUGUGUUAUUACAAAAUUAAUAAGAAUACAUAUAACGCGUUUUCCCAUAACGUGGAACCACUCUACGGCGUUAUUAACUGUAGUAUUAGAUACCGCGUAGGUAUUUUGUUAACAGCUACCCUCUUAUAUGAACAUAGUAGGAAUGAAUAAUAUAAAGUUGUUAUUCGAAGUAGGUAAUCGUAGUAGGUAGAGUAACAAAGUUUAAUUUAAAUUUAUUAUUACUUUGAUCAGUUAUAUUUUGAGGUUGAUUUUACUUUUGAAAUUGAUCUCUUUUUUCGUUAUUAUAAUCACAGAAUUGAGCGCAUGUAAUUUUAAAAUUAUAGUAACAAGGCAAUAUGGAUUCAAUGGUCUGUAUAGACAAUCUGUUUCGUUCUCACCGUCAUCAAUGUUAGUAUGUAUAUUGUUAUGGGGCAGUGCGACCGAUAUUAAUACCAUCUUUGUGCUGCAUAAGAGGGCUAUUCGCGCGAUUUAUAACCUAGGUCCUAAAGAAUCAUUAAGAAAAAAAUUUAAAGAAAUAAACGUUUAGACUGUUGCUUCUCAAUACAUUUUUGAUAAUGUUCUGUAUGUUCAUAAGGACAUUGAGGAAUUUUCUAGAAACUGUGACAUUCAUAAUGUUAACACGAGGAACAAACAUAAACUUGUUAUGCCUACUACUCGGUUGGGUCGAGUUAGUAAGUCUUUCGUUGGGCGAUGUAUAUAUAUGCUUCUACAAUAUGAUCCCAGAAAAUGUACAAAACAAAUGUGAACGAAAUUUAAAAGAAUUGUUAAAAAACGUUUGUGUGGAAAAGGUUCUUUAAUUAUAAAUGUUUACUGUAUGAUAUCACAUUGUAAUCCAUAUUUUAUAUUAAAAAAAAGCCCGCUGAGUUUCUUGCGCCCAUUCUACUCAGGUCUGAAGCAGUCUCUUUUGAAUGGGUGGUAGUUUAUGACGUUCAAUAAGUGAUUUUAAAUCCUAUUUUGAAUAAAAAUAUUUGAAUUUGAAUUUAUGACAGUCGCCGCUCGGCUCCAGCUGAAUAUUUCUAUAUGUUGUGAAAAUUGUCGGGACAAACAUGGGACAUGUAGCAAUACGGGACGGACUGUUUAUGGCAACCCUAGAUAUAUAUUAGUAUUGUUGAAUUCAUUCAAUAUUAGAUCCAUACUUUGUAUAGCAUUGGAAAGGUUGUGAUGCUAUUCAAAGUCAAAAAUUUAUGUUUAUGUGAUAAAGACUACCAGACAAAAUUGAUAAUAUUUUUUAUAGAGACUCAAUUCAGAUUCUUUUGAAACAGCAUAUUCAAACUACAGUGUUCAUUUGUGUAUAGAAGAAAUACUGAUGAUAAGAUGAUUAUGAAACUGAAAUAUCGAAAAGUAAGAAUUUAUGUAAAAAAAAACCCAGUUGUAAUAAGUUUUAUACCCACCAUUUUUACUUUACCUAAAAGUUCACUUUUCAAAAAAUAGCCAUAUUUUUGAAUGAGUUCAAAACAUGGUUUUACAUAUGAUUGGCAUUUGGAUGAUAAGUGCCAGGCAAGGUUCACGCGGUUACUUCAGAGCCAGAAUACAGCGAGACUUUUGAGAACUUCGUUCCUAUACGACAUGCAAGUCUGAGAGUAGUUGCAAGAACAGGACAGUCCUGGAUUGAGGGAAUCAGAUACCCGGAAUCGUAAUCCUGCAGUGCAAUACGCUCGCACGUAACCUAUAUUCUGGCCUGGUUCUCUAAAUCAGUGUUUUUCAAUCGUAAUUACUUCGCGACCCCAUUACAGCUUGAAAAUUUCUGGAGACCGCCUUGUCAGUCAGAUAAAUAAUUUAUAAUUACAUUUUAAAGGACGACUAAUAUAAUAUAUAUAUAAUAUAAUGACUUUAUGCACAAAGUGUUGACGUGUUUUGGAUGAGAUAAUGAAAAAAAAAAAUAUCUAGGGCGCGGGAAGCUCUAAAGUUAUUAGUAGGUACCAUUCGCAACUUCAUACCUGUGUGAACUGCCAUUCUUUUCUAAUGGUGGACAUUAAAACAAAAAAGAGAAAUAGACUUCAUUUAGGAAAUGAUUAAAUGUUAAUAUUUCAAAAAUAGCACCACGAUUUGACUUUUGAAAAUUAAACAAUUCCAUCCUUCUCACUAAAAUUGUGUGUUUGUUGUUGUUUUCAUUAACUUUUUCUUUUGCCGGCAACCCUCCAAGGAAGGCUUUGCGAGCCACAAAUUGAAAAACACUGCUCUAAAUCAUUAGUAUCUAUAGGACCAUAGUCGAGCUGCAUUGAACUUAGAAACACUUAAACAAACGUAAUUUACCUCGAUAGUUUUAAUUUGAAUUAUCCCAGGAAUAAUGGCUGGCUUUUGAAAAGUGACCUUAUUGUUUUUAUAAUAGAAUCUAAAGUAGGCCCGAUAUAUACAUAACGUAAAUAAUGUGUUCAAUAAGAGACAAGAAGUAUUCAUGUUCAACUAUUGUUAGCUGUAGAUAGAUAUAUCUAUGUGAAAUGCAAUACACGAUUUUAUUGUUUGUUACUUGUUGUUAAGGUUCGGGUUCGCGUGAAUACUAAUAGCAAAUAUAUAUACGACCGAUGUGACACUCGACGUUAGGGGUCACCGAAUGAGGGAAGGCAAACGGUCAAACAUUUUUGAUGUGAAACAUGUAUUGGCGCCACUGACCUCUACUAUAUAGCACUGGACUGGCGGCUGUCGAAGUGCUUUUGUGCCUGUGUGAUAUUCGCCAUUUUGGCGCUGUUGGCCAUGUAGCGAGAGUCUGCGGUAAAACUAGUGAUGACAACCUCAGCAAACAUCGAUAGAUGGUGAGAAAUUAUUAAGAAAAAAAAAUGUGUACUUGAUAACGUUGAUUCUUGAAGUAUAAAUAACACGGAAAACGAACGAAAUUAAUUCAAAAUGUAAAAAUACUUCAAAGUAUUGUACGUUCCUUCGCAGCCAUAUGUAUUAUACGUCGAAAGUAGUUCUCUGGACGCUCGCAGGUGGCGCUCAAAUAGGCACAACAAAAUUGCUGUCAAACAAAUGGAACAGCCUGUCCAGUGGUAUUUAUACAGGUCAGUGAUCGGCGCGCUUGCCGUUACGGAAAACCAUAUGACGCUCACUCGUGUCGUCAUGCCUUCAUAGAUCGUCGCCAUCUAAUGAAUUUAUUUUAUACCAAAUCAAUUUUGAAGAAAUCAAACAAAUUUCUAAUGUAACACAACAGAACAAUGCAAACUGUGUUUUAUUUGUAAAGUGAUAGUCUAUUUUUAUUGGAAUGAAAAUAAACAUUAAAUUUUGUGAAAAUGAUCACUUUCUCUUGCAUCAACAAAUAGUAUAAUUUGUAAUUUUUUUUUUAAUUUUUUAAUUUUAUCGGUAUAGUUUUUAAAGUAUUUGAAUUAUUGAUAAUAUCUUUUAUAUUAUCAUAAUAUCGUAACAUAUUUCAAUACGGUUACAUAAUAUGUGUUUUGUUUAUAUUAAAAAUGAUUGACAUAUUAGUAGGGAAUUAAGUAUGUUCGAUAGUAUAAUGAAUAUGAUAGAUUCAUUUGUUUGCCCCUAAUGUCGAGGCUUUAUAUGAAUGUAAUUAAGAUAAUUAUAACUCUAGUUCAUAGAACGCCUUUAUAGUUCAAAUACAUUGUUAAUUAAUAUUAACCGUAAUGUUAUGUGUACACAAUACUCGGGUAGUUGGACCUUGCCAAUAUUUAGACCGAAAUAACUGUUGUUCCUUAUCCGCCAUCUUGAUAUCCUUUAUUUGUUAAUGCUAUUGUGUUUUUUACCAGUGUCUCACCUAAAUAUUAAGAUUUAAGUAAGCGGCCUAUUUAUCUUCGUUUAAGUGAACAGAUUUUUGUUUUUACACCCACCUAUCGACUGAGAGCCACAAUUAGAUUGAGAAAACCCAUUUUAUUUAUCUAGGCUUUCUAGCCUAAUUUAUGCAGUAAAAAUAUUAUGACUUGUGAUCCACUAAAACACACUGCACCAGUCAUAAGACAAAAUUUACUUUUUUAAGAGCAGGGACCAGAGAGUCUGCUAUAUGAUAUUGGAAGAACGAAAUAACACACUAGAUAGUUAGCACACGCGGGUGUCACAUACACGGUACACAUAUAUCGUCCAUAAAUCAUGACAUUUUUAAAUAAAAUACAAUGUUAUAAUUGGACGUAAUUCUAGAAAAACGUUACAAAACACAAUCAUGUCGAAAUUGAGUUAAGAACACAAAACUGGUCACGUGAUUCAUAUUCACGGACUGACACAAAAUGGCAGCCCUACUUGUCACUCUUUCAAUGACAUCAUGACUUAGUAGGCCAACCCACAUGUAUGGAAUACACUGAUAUUUAUUAAACUUUCAACACGAAUUCCUUAAAAUGUGAUGUUUGUGGCUUGGAACGUUUUUCAGGAACUAUGUCCAAUUAUUUGUGGCAGUAAAAGCUUGUUUUGUUGUUGGACCUCGGUUCAGUAAUCAGUUGGUGAACAGGCCGCUUGUUUCUAUUAUUGUAAUUAUGUUGUUAUGUUAUAAUUUCACUUGGUGAAUGUUUAGUUAAGCUUUUGUUGAGACGUUCGGUGCCACCUCGCAACUAUGUAGAUAAAUAUUUAACACAUUUUAUAUACGAGUAGAGUAUGUUACUUAUAUUCCACUUAGUUUAUAAGGAGCGUUGACUAAGAUGUUAAGUGCAAGCGCACCGAAUAGCGACGUGUGUUGGCCAUUGCAUCUCCGUUUGCAAUUUGCCGCCAUCUUGGAAACUGUUUAUUGACUUUAACUACUGCGGAAUGUUUAUCAUCGGUCACCAAUACAAAUUUAAACUAUUGAAGCAUAUUGUAAUCGGAGAUGGCGAUGUUUGUUUCGGCUGGGACGGAUCGUACGACAUCGAAUGCUAGAGUGAAUGCGGCCUUAUUAUCGUAAAUUAUUAAUAUUUAACUAUAUCUAUAUUAUAGGUUUGAUAUAGAACGUGUGGUGUGGGCUUGUGGAGCUCCAUUCAUAUAUACUAGUCCCAUUUCAAGUUUAAAUAGGGUUCUUGCAUAAAGAUGUUCCUGUAACGGCGUAAGGAUAGUCUUGUUUCGUUAAGUAUAAAUAAUUAUUGUGUACGAAGAGAUGUUUGUGAGCGGAGCGGAUGACGUCACGCGACGGCUGCUAAGGAGGCUUGAUGUGCGGGGUUGUGAGCCUUAUUGCAUUGUUGCAAGAGCUAAAUUACGACGGUUGUUUGGUAAAAUGGUUUAGGUUCGGACUUGGGAUAGUAGAUAUAUUUUUCUACUUCUGGUGCUAGUUGUGUUGUAUUCUACAUAACGCUACGCAGGCAUUACUCGCAGUCAAUUAUAAAGCCACUGUUUCUGAUCCCUGUUCAAUGCCCGCCAGCUAAAGUAUAUUAUAUUAAUUUAUUUGUAGGUUUACGGUGGAGGAAUAGAGUCAUGUGGGCAAGUGUGCGCACCUAAGCAUACAAACACUUUGUCAAAGAUAAACGAUAAGCAUGAAAGGAAAAUAAAAAUAUGUCUGAUAGAGUAUAUGUAAUAAUUAAAUUAAUAAAUGAAGUCUCAAAACCUUAACACUUCGUAAAAAAAACGAAUUAAUCCGAAUGAUUCUAAAUAUGCACAAUUAACACACACACUUACCCCGUAGUAAGGGGAAGUGUGCCCACUCGUGUGGGGUGAAUUUGUGCAACUAAUGAAACUAAGCGGACUUUUAUUGCCUAAUGAUUUUAAUAAUACAACUUCGAAUGUUAUGCUAAAUAUAAAAAAAAGCUCAGAUACAUUAUUGACUGAAAAAAAAAAUACUUUAAGUUACUUUAUCCUUAGUACAGUUUGACAAAUUUGCCUUGACAGAAAAUUUUACCAUUACGCCACCAGAUUCUUAAUAUUUAGUUAUUUCGGUAAACUAAUGAUACCACGUGGGUUUUUCUUGCAUAAGCUAAUUUCACACCAAAACAAACUUCCCCCUCUCCAUCCAUAAAUAAAGGAACUGCGCACACUUACCCCACGUGACUCUACAUACCUACAAUAAAAUAAAUAAUUCAAAGACUGUCUGAAGUAGAACAACUCCUCGGAAGUUAUCCGCGAAUAUCUAUAGCGAGUGUAGUGUCGGAAUAGUUACUCUUAUUAUUGAUUACGUCUCGUCCUCGCGUCGCAAGUUUAAACUUGUUCUUCGUCCGUCAUCUUCAGCUACCAAUCAAAUUCACCGUGAUACCGUCAACAAUCCGAUGAAGUGGAUACUUCUCUUGUCGUAUGUGAUUUUAAUUUAGGAUUUAUUACAAUUGCUAUUUAGCAGAAUGGCAACUUGGCUUAGAGCCGGAUCGCAAAAUGUAUUUGUGGCUUUAGCGACCUCCAGCCGGUUCGCACUUAUUGUUUCGCGUGGUUACAAUUCGCAGUGAUGUUAUGAUUUAUAGGAUUUGUUACAAAUAUUUAGCAUAAUGGCCACUUGGCUUAGAGCCCGACCGCAAAAUUGUACAAAAAUGCAUUUUAGCUUUUGUGGUUUCCGGCCGGUCCGCACUUAUUGUUUCACGUGGCUAGUAGUAGGUACGCAGUGAUGUUGUGUUUUAUAAAAUUUCUAAACUUAUCCUAAUUUUGGUUCGUUACUUUUUGGUUACUUUCAUAUUAUUAAUUAUGUAAAUAAAAAUAAAAGCUUUGGAUUUCA